UACAGAGGGUGCAAGCGUUAAUCGGAAUUACUGGGCGUAAAGCGUGCGUAGACGGUUAUGUAAGUCGGGUGUGAAAGCCCCGGGCUCAACCUGGGAAUGCCAUUCGAGACUGCAUAGCUAGGGUGCGGAAGAGGGAAGCGGAAUUCCACGUGUAGCGGUGAAAUGCGUAGAGAUGUGGAGGAACACCAGUGGCGAAGGCGGCUUUCUGGUCUGUAACUGACGCUGAGGCGCGAAAGCGUGGGGAGCAAACAGG
rnacentral:rRNA from 1 species